AAUGUACUCCCUCCGUCCGGAAAUACUUGUCCUAGAAAUGAAUAAAAUGGAUGCAUCUAUAACUAAACUAAGUUUAGAUACAUGCAUUUCUAGAACAAGUAUUUUCAGACGGAGGGAGUAGUAU
rfam:Hordeum vulgare subsp. vulgare, WGS project CAJW01000000 data, contig: morex_contig_1587591